UCGAUUUUUGCAAAACAUCAUCGCAGCACAGUAGGUCCAUAGGUUAACAAGCGGGCCGAGUCAGUUUUUGAGUUAGAUCAUUCUGACGUCUGGGACCAUGACAUGUUAUUUCUAAAACUGGGCAUAAGUGUUUUGUCACUUUUGGAUGAUUUCUCUCAAAUGACUUUGUUAUGAAUGAAAACGCUGAGGUGGAGACCAACGCGGCUGAACCAAUUGUGCCAGCUAGGCGAAGCACUCGUGUGAAGAGAAGGCCACAAAAAUUAGCUUAUUUCAAUUAAAGGGUGGGUAAAACGUGUGAAGGAAUCUGAGAGCAUGUGAGCUGCAGAAGUUUGUUAUAAAGGAAGUGGUAGCAACAGCAAGAAGUAGGCUGUUUGUUAUGGAAAUUCUCUGAGUCUCUCAUCCCAGACUCAUCCCCAAUUCUGAGAAAUCUGAGCUUCUCAUCCCCCUUCUUCUCUAUCCUUUAUAUUUCAGUCUUGUAUUGUUAUUUCUUUUAUUGCAUUCUCUAAUAUUGAGUCAGUUGUAAUUCAGUCCCAUUUUCAAGUAAUAGUAACUUUGAGGUUCAAAUUGUUACAUUGGUGCUUUCAUUCUAGAGUGUCUAAUGGCGGACCAACACUUGAAGGGCUCAGACGACGUAUCAGUUGCUCGAGAAAUUGCGGAUCUGCGAUCCUCUAUACAACAGUUGGUGGCGUCCAUGGCUUCCUUGGUUCCACCUACUCAUGUCCCCGUAGUUGACCCACAUCGUUANNNNNNNNNNNNNNNNNNNCGCUCUGAACCACCGCCAGUCCCCCUAACUCUUCGCCACAAACCGGCUCCGGUGGAAUUGGGGCGUUUUUCUGGCAUGAAUCUAGAGGCUUGGAUCUUCCAAGUGGAAAGGUAUUUUGAAUGUUAUCAUAUUGCCGAUGACCAUAAAUUGUCACUUGCUUCUUUCUAUCUCGACGGCGAUGCUCUUGAGUGGUGUCGUUGGUCGUAUCGCAAUAAGCAGUUGAUUGAUUGGGAUCACUUUGCUGAGAAAUUGGUUCAACGAUUUCGAAAACGGAAGUUGGAAGUCCCAGAGGGUCGUCUUGCUAAGAUAAAGCAGAUUACGACGGUGGCGAAAUACCAAAGCAAAUUUGAAACUCUCCUUAAUGAGACUACUCCUGUGGUUGAGCACUGGUUAGUCCAUUUUUGGAUUUCUGGGUUUUCUUCCGACAUUAAGUCUGCAGUAGUAGCCCAUGAGCCUACAAAAUUGGAUCGGGCAAUGUCUCUGGCCCAUGGCCCAUGUACAUGAACAACGGUUAUUCUCUGGUAAAGGGUUGCCCCGACCUGCUUUUGCAUAAUCAAAUCCUAUUCUACCCACCCCUACCCCGAUGCACCACACCUCGAAACCUUCCUCAUCCGCAUUAGUCCCUAUUGCUCCGCCACCUGUACCUUCUAACCUCAUACCCUUCAAACGCCUUUCCCCUGCUGAGUUACAAAGCCAUCGUGAGAAAGGCUUAUGCUACAACUGUGAUAAGAAAUUUUCUCUUUCGCACAAGUGUAAGGUGCUUCCCCAAUUAUUGUUGCUUACUGAGGAUUCAGAAUUUUCAUCGGAAUGGCCAGAACCAUAGUCUGAUGGUGUUUUAGUUGAGAAUUUGCAACUUAUGGAGGUACAAAACCAUUCCUCUAUUUCUUAUCAAGCUUUAUCGGGUGGCGAUUUACCAACUACUUUGCGUUUUAUUGUCGUUGUUAAUGGUUUCCAAAUCCAAAUUCUUGUGGAUGGGGAAGUACUCAUAAUUUUAUACAAGCUAGAGCAUCCAAAUACUUGCACCUGGUGGUUGAACCAAUUCCGAGUUUUGGAGUGGUGGUUGGCAUUGGCCAACGUCUCAAUUGUGAUAGAAUUGUGUGUGGAGUUCCUUUGCAUAUUCAGGGGUGUGAUUUGCCUAUGAACUUGUAUGUUUUAUCCCUCCACAGAGCGGACGUGGUUUUGGGUGUCUUUUGGUUAGCAACAUUAGGGCCGGUUGUUACUGAUUAUGCAGCCCGUAUCUUCGAGUUCUCAUUGAACGGUUCCCCUGUUCAUUGGGUAGGGGAUUCCCCAACUAAGCUGUAAUCAGUACAAUUGCAUAGUUUGCGGCGCUUGGCCACCACAGAUGCCAUUGCUUCUCUUUAUUGUUUGACGGUAGCUAAUAAUGGAAAGACAACUGAUGAGCCUCCUCUUUUAACCCCUAUACUGGACUCUUUGCAUGAUGUUUUCGAAAAGCCUCAUGGCGGCUAACCACCUAUUAGAUUUCAAGAUCAUGCUAUUCAUUUAACACCUGGGGUUGGGCCUGUUAAUGUCAAACCAUAUCGCUAUCACUAUUUUCAAAAGCAAAUUAUAGAGCAGCUUGUUGCAGAGAUGCUCAAGGAAGGGGUCAUUCGGGCAAGUACCAGCCCUUUCUCUUCACCUGUGCUUCUAGUCCGAAAAAAGGAUGGUACAUGGCGUUUUUGUGUAGACUAUCGAGCUCUGAAUGCUAUUACUAUAUGGGAUCGUUUUUCUAUCCCCACCAUUGAUGAAUUAUUUCAUGAGCUUCAUGGUGCAAAUCUUUUUUUCAAAGCUCGACUUAUUAGUCAGGCCUGCAGACAUUAGCAAAAUUGCAUUCCGAACUCAUGAGGGGCACUAUGAGUUCUUAGUAAUGCCCUUUGGGUUAUCCAAUGCGCCCUCUACUUUUCAGGCUACUAUGGAUGCGGUAUUGCGGCCUUUUCUUCGGCGUUUUGUGUUGGUCUUCUUUGACGAUAUCCUCAUUUAUAGUGCCCAAUGGGAGUCCCAUUUAGAGCAUCUCACCACUGUCCUAGAGCUUCUUCGCUCUCAUAAAUUGGUGGCCAAAACUUCUAAAUGUUUGUUUGGCCAAACGACCAUUGAAUAUUUGGGCCAUGUGAUCUCUAGCAAAGGACUUUCUGUUGAUCCCACUAAAAUCACUGCCACCAGUCCCUAAGUCGGUAACGGAUGUACGAGGGCUUUUAGGGCUUACGGGUUACUAUCGACGUUUCAUUCAUCACUACGCCAGUUUGGCGGGGACUUUGACUGAUUUGCUCCGAAAGGAGUUUUUCUACUGCACAGAUAUCACCCAGGCAGCUUUUGACACACUUAAGGAGAAAUUGAGUAGUACACCUGUCUUGACCCUUCCGAAUUUUACUCAAGAGUUUCAGGUGGAAAUCGAUGCUUCCGGGCAAGGCAAGGGGCUGUGUUGUCCCAAAGAGGUCAUCCCAUUGCAUAUUCUAGUCAAAAAUUGAGCUCGGAAUGCAGCGAGCAUCCACGUAUCAUUGUGAAAUGUUUGCUAUUACGCAGGUAGUGGGCAAAUGGAGGCAGUACCUUUUGGGUCGACGAUUUACUAUUCUCACGGAUCCGCAGUCACUUAAGAAUUUGACUAACCAGACCAUCCAAACUCCGGAGCAGCAAAAAUGGCUUACCAAGCUAGUAGGCUAUGAUUUGCGCAUUUUAUAUAAACUUGGAAAGCAAAAUCAGGUUGCCGAUGCUUUAUCUCGAACGCCAUAUGCUAGUUUCUUGGCCUUGUCGAUCCAAACUUUUGCCUUGGAACAGGAAUUGAAAGCGUUGAAUCGCUCCCAUCCAGACCUCUUAGCCAUUCAACAGGCUCUCACUAUGCAGUCCUCUGAUUCAGCUGGUUAUGUUUGUUUAGAAGGACUUCCCUUUUACCAUGGCAGAUUGGUUAUUCCGGAUGACUCUCCUUUACGCCAACGGUUGUUAUAUGAGUUUCAUUCUACUGCCAUAGGUGGACAUGCUGGAAUAGCUCAUACCUACCAUCGGCGUUAAAUUUCUUUUGGAAACAUAUGCGCAAGGAUGUUCAGACUUAUGUAGCUUCUUGCCAAGUUUGCCAACAGAUGAAGAGCUCUCACGAGCUUCCUGCGGGCCGCUUACAACCCCUUCCCAUUCCCGAUUUGGUCUUUGAGGACAUCGCCAUGGACUUCAUUACCUGCUUGCCUAGUUCAAAAGGGAAAUCCACCAUUAUGACAAUUGUGGAUCGUUUGUCUAAGUAUGGGCACUUCGUUCCAUUAACUUCGACUUUUACUACUCAUAAAGUUGUAGAAGCUUUUGUGACUCAAAUUAUUCGACUUCAUAGUCCCCCUCACAGUAUCGUCACUGAUAGGAACCCUCGAUUUUAACAUUUUUUUGGCAGGAAAUCAAUAGGUUGCAGGGAACUUCACUUACUAUGAGCACUGCCUAUCAUCCUCAAACGGAUGGACAGUCUGAGGCUCUUAAUAAGUGUGUUGAGCAAUAUUUUCGAUGCUUUGUUGUUGAUGUCCCUACUGAUUGGGUUGCAAUGCUACCAUGGGCAGAGUAUUGGUACAACACCUCCUACCAAUCUUCCGCUGGCAUGACCCCUUUUUCAAGCCUUGUAUGGGCGUUAACCACCUACUGUUGCACGCUACAUCUUGGGAAACUCUUCUAGCGAUCUGGUCGAAGCUUAUUUGGUCCAGCGUGAUGAGGUUCUAAUUUUGCUCAAGCAGAAUCUUAGCAAAGCUCAAGCUCGCAUAAAGAAGUUAGCUGAUAACGAGCGCACAGAGAUCACCUCUUCAGUUGGUGAUUGGGUCUAUGUCAAAUUAAAACCUUAUCGUCAGACUUCUAUUAGGGAGCUUCCUUCUCACAAGUUGGAUAGGCAAUUCUUUGGACCUUUCCAGAUUCUUAAACGAGUUGGGGAAGUUGCGUACAAGUUGGAAUUACCAGAGGCUUCCCGGAUUCACUCUGUUUUUCAUGUUUCUAUACUCAGACGUUGUAUAGGCAAACCAACACAACAAAUUACUCCUUUGAACUUAUCCAACAGUGCUCCCCCUGUUUGGAACCUUGUGGACAAGGUUCUCAUUGAGGACGGGAGUAUUGUUAUGAAAGAAAACGCUGAGGUGGGGACCAACGUGGCUAAACCAAUUGUGCCAGCUAGGCGAAGCACUCGUGUGAAGAGAGGGCCACAAAAAUUAGCUGAUUUCAAUUAAAGGGUGGGUAAAACGUGUGAAGGAAUCUGAGAGCAUGUGAGCUAAGUUUGUUAUAAAGGAAGUGGUAGCAAUAGCAAAAAGUAGGUUGUUUGUUAUGGAAAUUGUCUGAGUCUCUCAUCCCCAAUUCUAAGAAAUCUGAGCUUCUCAUCCCCCUUCUUCUCUGUCCUUUAUAUUUCAGUCUUGUAUUGUUAUUUCUUUCAUUGCAUUCUCUAAUAUUGAGUUAGUUCCCAUUUUCAAGUAAUAGCAACUUUGAGGUUCAAAUUGUUACAGACUUGGAUUUAUUUUAUGAAGAGUCGCACUGAAGUGUUUACACCUUACCCACUUUUGUGCCUUCAGUGCUGAAGUCAAAA
rnacentral:lncRNA from 1 species